ACAAGGUUCCGUAGGGACCGNGGAAGAUCAUUGUUGAU
rnacentral:rRNA from 1 species